ensembl:snRNA LOC120102023 U1 spliceosomal RNA
AUGUACACCGGGCAGGGGAGAUGCCAUGAUGACAAAGGCAGGUUUUCCAGUGUGAGGCUCAUCAAUUGCUCUCAGGAUGAGCUGACCCCUGUGAUUUCCCCUAAUUCUGGGGACGUGACUGCAUAAUUUGUGGUAGUGGGAGACCAUGUUUGCAUUCUCCUC